rnacentral:rRNA from 1 species
UGCAGUCGAGCGGAUGACGGGAGCUUGCUCCUUGAUUCAGCGGCGGACGGGUGAGUAAUGCCUAGGAAUCUGCCUGGUAGUGGGGGACAACGUUUCGAAAGGAACGCUAAUACCGCAUACGUCCUACGGGAGAAAGCAGGGGACCUUCGGGCCUUGCGCUAUCAGAUGAGCCUAGGUCGGAUUAGCUAGUAGGUGAGGUAAUGGCUCACCUAGGCGACGAUCCGUAACUGGUCUGAGAGGAUGAUCAGUCACACUGGAACUGAGACACGGUCCAGACUCCUACGGGAGGCAGCAGUGGGGAAUAUUGGACAAUGGGCGAAAGCCUGAUCCAGCCAUGCCGCGUGUGUGAAGAAGGUCUUCGGAUUGUAAAGCACUUUAAGUUGGGAGGAAGGACAGUAAGUUAAUACCUUGCUGUUUUGACGUUACCGACAGAAUAAGCACCGGCUAACUCUGUGCCAGCAGCCGCGGUAAUACAGAGGGUGCAAGCGUUAAUCGGAAUUACUGGGCGUAAAGCGCGCGUAGGUGGUUCGUUAAGUUGGAUGUGAAAGCCCCGGGCUCAACCUGGGAACUGCAUCCAAAACUGGCGAGCUAGAGUAUGGUAA